rnacentral:rRNA from 1 species
UACGGAGGGGACUAGCGUUGUUCGGAAUUAUUGGGCGUAAAGCGCGUGUAGGCGGCUUAGCAAGUCGGGCGUGAAAGCCCUCGGCUCAACCGAGGAAGUGCACCCGAAACUGCUGAGCUUGAGUGCCGGAGAGGAUGGCGGAAUUCCCCAAGUAGAGGUGAAAUUCGUAGAUAUGGGAAGGAACACCGGUGGCGAAGGCGGCCAUCUGGACGGUAACUGACGCUGAGACGCGAAAGCGUGGGGAGCAAACAGG